GAGAGUUUGAUCCUGGCUCAGGAUGAACGCUAGCUACAGGCUUAACACAUGCAAGUCGAGGGGCAGCAUGGUCUUAGCUUGCUAAGGCCGAUGGCGACCGGCGCACGGGUGAGUAACACGUAUCCAACCUGCCGUCUACUCUUGGACAGCCUUCUGAAAGGAAGAUUAAUACAAGAUGGCAUCAUGAGUCCGCAUGUUCACAUGAUUAAAGGUAUUCCGGUAGACGAUGGGGAUGCGUUCCAUUAGAUAGUAGGCGGGGUAACGGCCCACCUAGUCUUCGAUGGAUAGGGGUUCUGAGAGGAAGGUCCCCCACAUUGGAACUGAGACACGGUCCAAACUCCUACGGGAGGCAGCAGUGAGGAAUAUUGGUCAAUGGGCGAGAGCCUGAACCAGCCAAGUAGCGUGAAGGAUGACUGCCCUAUGGGUUGUAAACUUCUUUUAUAAAGGAAUAAAGUCGGGUAUGGAUACCCGUUUGCAUGUACUUUAUGAAUAAGGAUCGGCUAACUCCGUGCCAGCAGCCGCGGUAAUACGGAGGAUCCGAGCGUUAUCCGGAUUUAUUGGGUUUAAAGGGAGCGUAGAUGGAUGUUUAAGUCAGUUGUGAAAGUUUGCGGCUCAACCGUAAAAUUGCAGUUGAUACUGGAUAUCUUGAGUGCAGUUGAGGCAGGCGGAAUUCGUGGUGUAGCGGUGAAAUGCUUAGAUAUCACGAAGAACUCCGAUUGCGAAGGCAGCCUGCUAAGCUGCAACUGACAUUGAGGCUCGAAAGUGUGGGUAUCAAACAGGAUUAGAUACCCUGGUAGUCCACACGGUAAACGAUGAAUACUCGCUGUUUGCGAUAUACUGCAAGCGGCCAAGCGAAAGCGUUAAGUAUUCCACCUGGGGAGUACGCCGGCAACGGUGAAACUCAAAGGAAUUGACGGGGGCCCGCACAAGCGGAGGAACAUGUGGUUUAAUUCGAUGAUACGCGAGGAACCUUACCCGGGCUUAAAUUGCAGAUGAAUUACGGUGAAAGCCGUAAGCCGCAAGGCAUCUGUGAAGGUGCUGCAUGGUUGUCGUCAGCUCGUGCCGUGAGGUGUCGGCUUAAGUGCCAUAACGAGCGCAACCCUUGUUGUCAGUUACUAACAGGUUCCGCUGAGGACUCUGGCAAGACUGCCAUCGUAAGAUGUGAGGAAGGUGGGGAUGACGUCAAAUCAGCACGGCCCUUACGUCCGGGGCUACACACGUGUUACAAUGGGGGGUACAGAGGGCCGCUACCACGCGAGUGGAUGCCAAUCCCCAAAACCUCUCUCAGUUCGGACUGGAGUCUGCAACCCGACUCCACGAAGCUGGAUUCGCUAGUAAUCGCGCAUCAGCCACGGCGCGGUGAAUACGUUCCCGGGCCUUGUACACACCGCCCGUCAAGCCAUGGGAGCCGGGGGUACCUGAAGUGCGUAACCGCGAGGAGCGCCCUAGGGUAAAACUGGUGACUGGGGCUAAGUCGUAACAAGGUAGCCG
rnacentral:rRNA from 1 species